GACGAACGCUGGCGGCGUGCCUAACACAUGUAAGUCGCACGGGACCGGGGGCAACUCCGGUUCAGUGGCAGACGGGUGCGUAACACGUGAAGAACCUGUCCAACGGCGGGGGAUAGCCGGCCCAACGGCCGGGUAAUACCGCAUACGAUCGUUCGGGGCAUCCCUGGGCGAUGAAAGCAGCCGCAAGGUUGCGCCGAUGGAGGGCUUCGCGGCCUAUCAGCUAGUUGGCGGGGUAACGCCACCAAGGCAACGACGGUAGCUGGUCUGAGAGGAUGGCCAGCCACAUUGGGACUGAGACACGGCCAGACUCCUACGGGAGGCAGCAGUGGGGAAUUGUUCGCAAUGGGCGCAAGCCUGACGACGCAACGCCGCGU
rnacentral:rRNA from 1 species